rnacentral:tRNA from 1 species
CAUGUGUUGGCUCAGUAGUAGAGCGUCCGGCUCCAACCUGGGAUAGUCGUGGGUUCGAACCCCCGGCCCGUGU